UCUGCUGAGGGGGUGGAGGCCGCAGGCAGGAGGGCGGGGGAGCUGUGCCCUCCCAGGUAGGCGUCGCUUGCUCGCUGCCUGGAGGGCCCCGCGCUGCCCCGCCUUUCCCCUCCUCCUGGGUCUGGGGUGGCGACAACUGUCGGCCGCAGGGACGGCCCAGGUCCCUGCACGCAGGUCUUGGACGCAGGUCUCGGUCAGUGUGAGAAGUAGGAAACACGCGAGCGAGGGAAUUGAGUGAGGAUGCUCGGGAAAUGACCCUGAAGGAGAGGUGGUAUUAAAAUCAGAUGGAUGUCGAAGCGAUCUAUAGAUCAUCAGUAGAAGAGCUUCCCUCAGUUGUUCAAGAAAAAAUUGAAAAUUUUUUGAAAAGAGAAUCAAUAGCACAUUCACAGGGAGCAUGGAAGUAUUGUCCUAGGCAACAGAAGCUAGCAGUGAACAAAACAGACAACAUCUCCUGCUCAUAUACAACUAUAGCUCAUGAUGUCUUCCGGCUUCAGUGUAUUUAGAGUUGGGAUCUCUUUUGUCAUGAUGUGCAUUGUUUACAAGUCAACUGAAGAUUCUUUGCCAGAUCUGACUCCUCAGAAAUAUUUUAGUACAUUGCAACCAGGAAAAGCCUCUUUAGCUUAUUUUUUUC